UACGGAGGGAGCUAGCGUUAUUCGGAAUUACUGGGCGUAAAGCGCACGUAGGCGGCUUUGUAAGUAAGAGGUGAAAGCCUGGAGCUCAACUCCAGAACUGCCUUUUAGACUGCAUCGCUUGAGUCCAGGAGAGGUGAGUGGAAUUCCGAGUGUAGAGGUGAAAUUCGUAGAUAUUCGGAAGAACACCAGUGGCGAAGGCGGCUCACUGGACUGGUAUUGACGCUGAGGUGCGAAAGCGUGGGGAGCAAACAGG
rnacentral:rRNA from 1 species